rnacentral:rRNA from 1 species
CCUACGGGAGGCUGCAGUGGGGAAUAUUGCACAAUGGGGGAAACCCUGAUGCAGCGACGCCGCGUGAGUGAAGAAGUAUUUCGGUAUGUAAAGCUCUAUCAGCAGGGAAGAAAAUGACGGUACCUGAUUAAGAAGCCCCGUCUAACUACGUGCCAGCAGCCGCGGUAAUACGGAGGGGGCAAGCGUUAUCCGGAUUUACCGGGUGUAAAGGGAGCGUGGGCGGCAGCGCAAGUCUGAAGUGAAAUGCCGGGGCUUAACCCCGGAACUGCUUUGGAAACCGGGCAGCUAGAGUGCAGGAGAGGUAAGUGGAAUUCCUGGUGUAGCGGUGAAAUGCGUAGAUAUUAGGAGGAACACCAGUGGCGAAGGCAGCUUACUGGACUGUAACUGACGUUGAGGCUCGAAAGCGUGGGGAGCAAACAGGAUUAGAUACCCGGGUAGUC